UGGGCUCCAAAGCAUGGGGACAGCCAGUUCCCCACGAAGAGCAACCUGGCAGCAGUGACUGGUGGAACCCAGCAGGGCAUUAGCCUAAGCCUAAAUCUGACUCUCAUUUCUCUCCACUCCCCAGGGAGCAGCCCCCCCCUUAUCCUGGCACAGCCCCAGCCCCAGCAAAGCAGGCAACUCCCACUUCCUAUAUAGGGACAAGCCCAGAACAGCCAUGGUUUUACCCAGCUCAAACCAGGAGGCAGCAGGGCUUUGACCUUUCCCCUCCUCUUUCCCUCCCAACCUCCCCCAAACAACUGCCACAGCCCCUAGACUCAGGGACAAAGCCCCCUCCACCAGGAACUAAAAACCAAGCCAUUGGGGAGGCUUCAGAGGGCAGUGGCUAGGACUGAGUCACUCCCACCUUCACCACCCACACCUACUUUUAUGGGCACUUCUGAAUUCUCUACUCCUCCAUCAAGCAGAGACUCUCAAAAUUGGAUGGCAGAAAAGUCCUUUCUAGAACUUCAGUGGGGCAAUGAAGCAGGAUGGGCUCUAGGCUUGCAGCCCCAGAGAACUCAAAUGCCAGUCCUGGCUCUGCUCAGCAUCUAGCUGUGCAACCCUGGGCAAGUGACUUAACUUCCCUGAGUUUCAAUUUCCUCAUCUGUAGAAAAGAGAUAAUGAUACCAGCUUCCAGAGACAGCCAUGAGGAAUAAGUGAGAACAGUUCAUGAAGGUGCUUGGUGUCUAAAGUCUUUCCUUGAUCUUAAGUUAAGGCUACACAGGCAAUGAGAAGCAGAGCUGGGACCCAGCUCAGCCCCCUAUACCAUCUCUCCAGAUAAACAGCCCUCUGUAGGCUAGUCAAUUUCCCAUCUCUUUCUAAGGUGGCUCCUCGUAGAGAGAAACCUCGGUCUUAGGUACCCACCCCAUGGGCCUCCAGGAAGGGAAAAAGCUGCCAGCCUUGGCCUGCCCUUGGCUCCCACACACUGCAUUCUCAGAACCCAGCUGUGGCAGCCCCAGCCCCAAUGGAGGCUCCAGAGGGAAUGGGUGGAGCUGGGGUGCGAGGGAGGGUCGGAGUGGGGAGAAGAGGCCUCAUGUCACCCAAGCUGGGGCUUGAUCUUAGCAAGAAAUGACUAAUUGGAUCCUACCUUCUUCCCCUCCCCCUCGAGUCCAGUCAGUGGCCAGUUUCACCAGGCACCUCCUAGCAAUACUUCCUCAGUAUUAUCUUUUCAUCACAGCCACAAACCAGAUUAGCUAAAUUAAUCAUUUAGCCAGCAUAAUUACAAGGUCUUCCCCUCCUCCAUAUUGGCUCGAAGAGGAGGGAAAACAGGUUAUUUUUGCCCAAACUCCAUGCCCCUGUAGUUCCCCAGGGGUGCAGGCCCCUUCCCCUCCCCCCAGGGCCUGGGUUCCUACCUCAGCGGCCCCCUAGCCCAGGGCUGAACCUGACCCCUACUCAGGACACUCCAAGGGAGUGGGUCUGGUGCUCUCCCACUCUCCCAUCUACAACCAAAGGAGGUGGUAGGCUCUCCACCCCUGCCCCAGCUGGGCUGAUCCCCCCUCCCAUCUUCCUUCCACACCCAGGACUUGAAGGAGAAACUGGCUCUCACAGUCCCCCAAGGGGGCUGGGCUCCAAGUCCUACGAAAAGACCACACUCUGGUUUGUACAAACUGGUAUAGAAAGCCUGGCUAUUUCUGGCAGGGAGUCAGAUAGGGCUCUUAGAAAAUUGGGGGCAGAGGAGUUGGAAGCCUGAUUCACCUCUGCCCGAAGGAGUCUAGUGUUGACGGAACCUCCCCCAAAAAAGCCAUCCUCCUGUCCCACUUUCGCCGUCAAAGUCUCUCAGAAAAGGGGGUGGCGAAAGGUCUAGGAAGGCUCCAGAAAGCACGCACCUUUCUAAUUCAGAAAUCAGAAGGCAAGCAAGCCCCACAGCCUCAAUUACCAGCUGGCUAAGUAAGGAGGGGGUGGGGUAGAGAAAAGAACAACCACUCCCUCCACCUUCCACAGUUUGGCCGGGCCCCGCCCCCCCAUUCCUGGGGAGGGGGCAGAGCUUGGGAGAGAGAGCCACUAGCAGGCAGGCCUCCUCCGAGGGGGUGUGGUGGUCCCUGGAGGCAGGAAGAGACGGAAGAAGCAGCUUCCCCUCUCGGCCCUCCCCCCCCAACCCCGGCCCCCACCUCAGGUCCCAGGGGCCCAGCAAACGGGAUGCAGGUGGGGGCAGGGAGGACCGGGUCAGAGCGCAGACACUGGCCCAGGUUCAGCCUGGGGCCGGCUGGGGGAGGGGGCUUUGCACUAAGAGGGACCCCUAAGCCUAGAGGAAGCUCUGGACUAGGAGACAGGAAAACCCCAAGAGAAAGCUGUCGUGAGUACUUCCUUCUGCAAAGUUUGUUUUGGGUGAUUUUUCCAACAAUAAGAGGUUAGGGAAGAAGGGUAGUCCUGUUCCCACACCAACACUCUGGAAGCCACAGCUACUGGAAACUGGGCCAGGUGGCCCUGAAUUCUCCACCCAUGCACAGACACCUCCUCCCAGACCCCAGUCCGAGCCACGGAUGCCAGGCACCAGCUGGGCACUGAGCCGGGCCCUGCACCAACCCCACUGUCACCCCAUCCCACAUCCGCUGAAGGAGCCAUAGCCCAGCACCCACGCGAGGCGAGGGAGGCGCCGCAGGUAAUAUCAACCAGCCUCUGGGAGCUGGCCUCUGGACUCUGUGCGCUCACCUGCUCGGCAGGUGAGUCAGGGGCCACCAUGGGAAAGGACAGACGCCUUCACCAGCCAGCCGACUCAGCGUCGUCAGGCAUGAUGCUUCUUUGGACUUAUUCAGCCUUGCCCCAAAGUAGUAAUAACAUAUUUGUGUAGCACUUCA